rnacentral:rRNA from 1 species
GAUGAACGCUGGCGGCGUGCUUAACACAUGCAAGUCGAACGGAAAGGCUCCUGCUUGCAGGGGUACUCGAGUGGCGAACGGGUGAGUAACACGUGGGUGAUCUGCCCUGCACUUUGGGAUAAGCCUGGGAAACUGGGUCUAAUACCGGAUAGGACGAUGGUUUGGAUGCCAUUGUGGAAAGUUUUUCGGUGUGGGAUGAGCUCGCGGCCUAUCAGCUUGUUGGUGGGGUAAUGGCCUACCAAGGCGUCGACGGGUAGCCGGCCUGAGAGGGUGUACGGCCACAUUGGGACUGAGAUACGGCCCAGACUCCUACGGGAGGCAGCAGUGGGGAAUAUUGCACAAUGGGCGCAAGCCUGAUGCAGCGACGCCGCGUGGGGGAUGACGGCCUUCGGGUUGUAAACUCCUUUCGCUAGGGACGAAGCGCAAGUGACGGUACCUGGAGAAGAAGCACCGGCUAACUACGUG